GACGAACGCUGGCGGCGUGCCUAACACAUGCAAGUCGAACGGAGAAUUAGCAAUAAUUCUUAGUGGCGAACGGGUGAGUAACGCGUAGACAACCUACCCUUUAGAUGGGGACAACACCGCGAAAGUGGUGCUAAUACCGAAUAUUGCUUGAGAAGCGCAUGCUUUUCAAACAAAAGAUGGCCUCUAUUUAUAAGCUAUCGCUAAAGAAUGGGUCUGCGUCUGAUUAGCUAGUUGGUGAGAUAAAAGCUCACCAAGGCAACGAUCAGUAGCCGGCCCGAGAGGAUGAACGGCCACACUGGGACUGAGACACGGCCCAGACUCCUACGGGAGGCAGCAGUGGGGAAUCUUCCGCAAUGGACGAAAGUCUGACGGAGCAACGCCGCGUGAGUGAUGAAGGUUUCGGAUCGUAAAACUCUGUUGUUAAGGACGAAUGUAUAGAUUGUGAAUAAUGGUUUAUAAUGACGGUACUUAACGAGGAAGCCACGGCUAACUACGUGCCAGCCGCCGCAGUAA
rnacentral:rRNA from 1 species